rnacentral:rRNA from 1 species
AGUCGAGUGCGCGUGCCGUAGCAAUACGGUAUGGCGCACGGCGCACGGGUGCGUAACACGUGGGCAAUCUGCCCUCCGGUGGGGAAUAACCCCGCGAAAGCGGGGCUAAUUCCGCAUAACAUUCCCUGGACUCUGGUUCGGGGAUUCAAAGCAGCAAUGCGCCGGAGGAGGAGCCCGCGCCCGAUUAGCUAGUUGGUGAGGUGACGGCUCACCAAGGCAAUGAUCGGUAGCUGGUCUGAGAGGAUGGCCAGCCACACUGGAACUGAGACACGGUCCAGACUCCUACGGGAGGCAGCAGUGGGGAAUCUUGCGCAAUGGGCGAAAGCCUGACGCAGCGACGCCGCGUGGGGGAUGAAGCUUCUCGGAGUGUAAACCCCUUUCGACCGGGACGAAUGCCCGCAAGGGAGUGACGGUACCGGUAGAAGAAGCCCCGGCUAACUACGUGCCAGCAGCCGCGGUAAGACGUAGGGGGCCAGCGUUGUUCGGAAUUACUGGGUGUAAAGGGUUCGUAGGCGGUGUGGCAAGUCGGGAGUGAAAUUUCUGGGCUUAACUCAGAAGCUGCUUCCGAAACUGCUGUGCUAGAGUGCGGGAGAGGCGCGUGGAAUUGCAGGUGUAGCGGUGAAAUGCGUAGAUAUCUGCAGGAACACCCGUGGCGAAAGCGGCGCGCUGGACCGUUACUGACGCUGAGGA